CCGCGUGAGGGACGAAGGCCUUCGGGUUGUAAACCUCUUUUAGCAGGGAACAAGCGCAAGUGACGGUACCUGCAGAAAAAGCACCGGCUAACUACGUGCCAGCAGCCGCGGUAAUACGUAGGGUGCAAGCGUUGUCCGGAAUUAUUGGGCGUAAAGAGCUCGUAGGCGGUUUGUCGCGUCUGCUGUGAAAAUCCGAGGCUCAACCUCGGACCUGCAGUGGGUACGGGCAAACUAGAGUGCGGUAGGGGAGAUUGGAAUUCCUGGUGUAGCGGUGGAAUGUGCAGAUAUCAGGAGGAACACCAAUGGCGAAGGCAGAUCUCUGGGCCGUAACUGACGCUAAGGAGCGAAAGCGUGGGGAGCGAACAGGAUUAGAUACCCUGGUAGUCCACGCCGUAAACGGUGGGAACUAGAUGUGGGGUCCGUUCCACGGAUUCCGUGUCGCAGCUAACGCUUUAAGUACCCCGCCUGGGGAGUACGGCCGCAAGGCUAAAACUCAAAGGAAUUGACGGGGGCCCGCACAAGCGGCGGAGCAUGCGGAUUAAUUCGAUGCAACGCGAAGAACCUUACCAAGGCUUGACAUAUAGAGGAAAGGUGCAGAAAUGUACCCCCCGCAAGGUCU
rnacentral:rRNA from 1 species